rnacentral:rRNA from 1 species
GACGAACGCUGGCGGCGUGCCUAAUACAUGCAAGUCGAACGCUGAAGGAGGAGCUUGCUUCUCUGGAUGAGUUGCGAACGGGUGAGUAACGCGUAGGUAACCUGCCUGGUAGCGGGGGAUAACUAUUGGAAACGAUAGCUAAUACCGCAUAAGAGUAGAUGUCGCAUGACAUUUGCUUAAAAGGUGCAAUUGCAUCACUACCAGAUGGACCUGCGUUGUAUUAGCUAGUUGGUGUGGUAACGGCUCACCAAGGCAACGAUACAUAGCCGACCUGAGAGGGUGAGCGGCCACACUGGGACUGAGACACGGCCCAGACGCCUACGGGAGGCAGCAGUAGGGAAUCUUCGGCAAUGGACGGAAGUCUGACCGAGCAACGCCGCGUGAGUGAAGAAGGUUGUCGGAUCGUAAAGCUCUGUUGUAAGAGAAGAACGAGUGUGAGAGUGGAAAGUUCACACUGUGACGGUAGCUUACCAGAAAGGGACGGCUAACUACGUG